rnacentral:rRNA from 1 species
AGCCCAACGAGAUCGGGAUAACACCUGGAAACAGAUGCUAAUACCGGAUAACAACAGAUGAUGCCUAUCAACUGUUUAAAAGAUGGUUCUGCUAUCACUCUUGGAUGGACCUGCGGUGCAUUAGCUAGUUGGUAGGGUAACGGCCUACCAAGGCGAUGAUGCAUAGCCGAGUUGAGAGACUGAUCGGCCACAUUGGGACUGAGACACGGCCCAAACUCCUACGGGAGGCAGCAGCC